rnacentral:misc_RNA from 1 species
AAAAAAAAAAAAAAGAUAAGAAAGGAAUCCAAAGGUUUUAUUUUUCACUUGUUUUUUCCUUAUAAGCUUUGAAUCGAAAGGUAUAGAAAUUUAUUUUGGAAGAAUAAUAAGUGCCUUUUUGGUGUUGGUGAACUGGUUCUUAACCCUUUUUAUCAAACCACUAUAAUAGACUCUUUCCUAACAAUCAAAUUCAAGUGAAGCAACUAAAAGAAACCCAUAAAAAGUUGAGGCUCAUUUCACCUUUUGCAUUAGGGAUAUAUUGAGUAUGGCUUAAGUCAUCCUCAUGGAAAUGGUCUCUUUCACAAUCCCUGAGGGUUCAAUGGAAUCAAGUGGACCUAACAUUUCUCACUCCAUCUGCCCUAUACCACUAUAUAAGGAACUCCUCCAACAACUAUCCCAAAAGCAACCCAGCAACAAUCCCAAAAUUCAAUCUUCUAGUACUGUCUUCUUUUCUCUUCUAUUCUGCUCUCCUUCCUUUUACAAUGGCAAGUUUUGGGUCAGCAGUUGUUUGUGCAAUUCUAGUCCUGAUCAGUAUGGUGGUGCCAAAUUUGGCAAAAGUUUACACUGUGGGAGACUCCACUGGCUGGACAACGGGCGUUGAUUAUAGCACCUGGACUAGCGGCAAGACUUUCACAGCUGGUGACAGCCUUGUAUUUAACUAUGGAGGAGGGCACACAGUGGACGAAGUGAGUGCUAGUGACUACAACACAUGCACAGUGGGGAAUGCAAUUACUUCAGACAACAGUGGAGCCACCACCAUAGCCCUCAAGACUGCAGGGACUAAGUAUUACAUAUGUGGAGCGGUUGGGCAUUGUGGGAGUGGCAUGAAGAUUGCAAUCCCUGUUAAGGCAGCAGCAUCAUCAGGAACUACUACUCCAUCUUCAGGUUCAGGCACCACUCCUACUAGUACCUCUCCAGCUGGGACUAAUACCACCAUCUAUAAACCUUCCUCUAAUAAUGUGCCUGACUCAGCUUCACCAACUCUUUCUCUAUUUGUGGGUAUAGUGGCUACUUGGGUUGCAUUUUGUGUGAUGGUUUUCUCAUUGUAAAAUUUGGCAAGGGUGGUCUCACCUUAGCCAGGAAGAGGCAGUGCUCUUUCAGUCUCUUUCUUUUCUUGUCUUUUUUUCUUAAUUUGUAUUCGGGAUUGCCAUUGCUUUUUAUUAUUAAUGAGUAGGUCAUAUUGAUAUCUGAUAAUGGAUCUUAGGUAUUUAAUUAAAUCAUGGUUCAUAAUCC